rnacentral:rRNA from 1 species
GUGCCAGCAGCCGCGGUAAUACAGAGGGUGCGAGCGUUGUCCGGAAUCACUGGGCGUAAAGGGCGCGUAGGUGGCUCGUUAAGCGUGUGGUGAAAGCCUGGGGCUCAACCCCAGGUCUGCCGUGCGAACUGGCGAGCUUGAGCAGAGUAGAGGCGGGUGGAAUUUCGGGUGUAGCGGUGGAAUGCGUAGAUAUCCGAAAGAACACCGGUGGCGAAGGCGGCCCGCUGGGCUCUUGCUGACACUGAUGCGCGACAGCGUGGGGAGCAAACAGGAUUAGAAACCCUCGUAGUCC